GCGCUCGUAGCUCAGCUGGAUAGAGCGCUGCCCUCCGAAGGCAGAGGCCAGAGGUUCGAAUCCUCUCGAGCGCGCCA
rnacentral:tRNA from 1 species